UCGAGCGAACAGUUAAGUUGAUUUCUUCGGAUUGAUUCUUGACCGUACUGAGCGGCGGACGGGUGAGUAACGCGUGGGUGACCUGCCCCAUACCGGGGGAUAACAGCUGGAAACGGCUGCUAAUACCGCAUAAGCGCACAGAGCUGCAUGGCUCGGUGUGAAAAACUCCGGUGGUAUGGGAUGGGCCCGCGUCUGAUUAGGCAGUUGGCGGGGUAACGGCCCACCAAACCGACGAUCAGUAGCCGGCCUGAGAGGGCGACCGGCCACAUUGGGACUGAGACACGGCCCAAACUCCCACGGGAGGCAGCAGUGGGGAAUAUUGCACAAUGGGGGAAACCCCGAUGCAGCGACGCCGCGUGAGCGAAGAAGUAUUUCGGUAUGUAAAGCUCUAUCAGCAGGGAAGAUAAUGACGGUACCUGACUAAGAAGCCCCGGCUAACUACGUGCCAGCAGCCGCGGUAAUACGUAGGGGGCAAGCGUUAUCCGGAUUUACUGGGUGUAAAGGGAGCGUAGACGGCAAGGCAAGUCUGAUGUGAAAACCCAGGGCUUAACCCUGGGACUGCAUUGGAAACUGUCUGGCUCGAGUGCCGGAGAGGUAAGCGGAAUUCCUAGUGUAGCGGUGAAAUGCGUAGAUAUUAGGAAGAACACCAGUGGCGAAGGCGGCUUACUGGACGGUAACUGACGUUGAGGCUCGAAAGC
rnacentral:rRNA from 1 species